UUGGCAUUGUACACUUUGGAAAAAAAUUGGGACCACAAUUCACAAAAUGGGAAUUUAAAAAUCUUGCAAAAUAAGGCCAUGGUGGCCGUGUAUAUGAAGUGGUCCCACACAAUUGUGUGGCCAAUUUUAAAUGGUCCAACACAUUGUGUGGGCCAAAGACUUGUAUAGAUAUUUGGUGGACACCUAAAAGAUGAAAACCAAGUCAUCUUUAUUCAUUUCCCACACUUAGAACAAAUAGCAAGAAGGAGAAAAACCCCUCCAACCUCACGGCUGAACCAUGGAAAAAUCAAGAUCAUUUCUAGCCUCUCCAAAAUUUUUUCUUUGGUAUAAACCAACUAUUUUGAGGUCCCUAAGUAGCGUGGAAGUGUCGUUGGAGCGAUCAAGCCAUCAAUUUUGUGGAUUUCAAACCCUAACCAAAGUGUGGAAUUGGAGAAGAAAGACCUUGGGGAGCCCGAGGCGUAGAUUGGAAUUUACUUUAGAUUGGCCAUCUUGGAGUGCGUACGAGGUACAGACGCACAGUUUGGUGAUCUACCCAUUUAGGACACCCUCUUCUGCUGUUUGGAGUGCUCUUCUCAUUUCAGAGUACACAUUUUGGUAUAUAUUUGUUCGCUAUGUAUAUAUGUAUUUGUUCAGGGGUACGGAGGGGCCCUGUCCCGCCAUAUG